AACGAACGCUGGCGGCAGGCCUAAAACAUGCAAGUCGAACGCCCUAGCAAUAGGGAGUGGCGCACGGGUGAGUAACGCGUGGGAACGUGCCCUUCAGUACGGGACAACGUCGGGAAACUGACGCUAAUACCGUAUAAUAUCUCCGGAUCAAAGAUUUAUCGCUGAGGGAGCGGCCCGCGUCUGAUUAGCUAGUUGGUGAGGUAAUGGCUCACCAAGGCUACGAUCAGUAGCAGGUCUGAGAGGAUGAUCUGCCACACUGGGACUGAGACACGGCCCAGACUCCUACGGGAGGCAGCAGUUAGGAAUAUUGGACAAUGGGCGAAAGCCUGAUCCAGCCAUGCCGCGUGUGUGAAGAAGGCCUUAGGGUUGUAAAGCACUUUCGUUGGGGAUGAUAAUGACCGUACCCAAAGAAGAAGCCACGGCUAAAUUCGUGCCAGCCGCCGCCGUAAUAC
rnacentral:rRNA from 1 species